UACGGAGGAUCCGAGCGUUAUCCGGAUUUAUUGGGUUUAAAGGGUGCGCAGGCGGCACGGCAAGCCGGCGGUCAAAUCGCGGGGCUCAACCCCGCCCAGCCGUCGGAACUGCCGGGCUAGAGUGGGCGAGAAGUGCGCGGAAUGCGUGGUGUAGCGGUGAAAUGCAUAGAUGUCACGCAGAACUCCGAUUGCGAAGGCAGCGCACCGGCGCCCUACUGACGCUCAGGCACGAAAGCGUGGGUAUCGAACAGG
rnacentral:rRNA from 1 species